CAAGUUCCCGAGGGCUGUGCGGGCGAACUGGCCUGGGAGCCCCAAAAGUGGGAGGGGCAAGGCCGUCCCCCGCCUUCCCUGCUCCGUGGGUGCCCCCUGGGCCGGCCGUUUCCACAUCUCCCGGGCUGCCACGGCCUGGGACCGAGCCGGGCGCGCACCGGCGCCCGCGCCGCCCCGAAGCCCGACUGCCACAGCCCGGCCCGCCGGCCCAGAGCCGCGCGGCCGCUCCGACCCGCCGGCCAGGCCGGUCCUCGCCCCCAGGCCCCGGCCCCGCCCGCUCGGGCCUCCGCGCGCCGCCCCCCGGCUCGCCACCACCCUCGGGCAGGGGGCAGGGGGCAGGGGGCCGGGGGCACCGGGGCUCCGGGCCGCGCGGCGGCGUCCCCGCGCCUACCUCAGCGACCGCGGCUCCUCCUCCCGGGGCUGCCUCAGCUGGCGGACGGCGCUCGCCUACCGGACUCGCAGCGGCGCGGGAUCUGGGCUGCGGGCGCGGCGUGUGAGGAGCCGAGGCCCGAGCGCGCCCCGUCCAGCCGCCCGCCCGACCGCCCGUCAGUCACCUCCUCCCCCUGGCGCCCGCCCGCCAGGCCCCGCCCCGCCCCGCCCGCCCGUCAGGCCCCGCCCCGCCCCGCCCGCCCGCCAGGCCCCGCCCACCCCGCCCGCCAGGCCCCGCCCACCCCGCCGGCCCGAGCCGGGAAGGGGGCCGCCGAGGGGCGCCGCGAGAGCCGCAGGGUCUGCCUCCCGUGGGGGCCUUCGAUACCCGGCGGGGCCCCCACUAGGGACGUGAUUCGUGGUGCUUGCUGCGAAGUCUCUUCGCUCGGGUUUGUCGUUACUGCGAUUUUCCUGCCGUUAUCAUUUUGUGAUCGUUGUUAUUGGCCCCGUCAUUGGUUCUUUCACCCUCCCGGAGCCCGCAGCAGCAUUCGGUGGAGGCGGGAGAUGGCGGACACGCAGCCCCUUCCUGCAGACCCGACUCUCCUGGUCGCCCGGGACUCCCAGGGGCCCGCACCUGUGCCACUGCCUUGUGAAGUCGACCAGUUGGGAGUGAAAAAGAAGAUACGUCCUGCCCAGGGAGCUCUCAGUCAAAAGAAAAAGGAAGCCCUCAGCCCAAGUGGGCUGCAGCCUGAUACUCCGGGACAGAAAUUAAUGCCCAGAGAAACAGGCCUUGGCAUCACACAAUGGGGACUCUGGAUUGACUCUCCACCUGGAGUCAAUCAGCAUGCCUGGCCACAACCCAUCUACUGCCUGGACUCUCAGCAGGGACUCUGUGCCUUCAGGUCCCACCCUCGCAUACUCCAUCAUUCCUCAGUCUCUUUAGAGGCUGCCAUUAGAGGAUUAAGGUGA
rnacentral:lncRNA from 12 species